AUAUCUAGAUUAAACAGAUUUAAUGUGUUUUUAUUAAAAACUAGGAGAGGUCCGCGCUACGCGCGGAAUUUGAUGGAUCGAUUUUUAUAAAAAAUAAUUUUGUGUAGGUUUUCUUUUAUGUUUAGUUGGGUGUGAAUAUGAUUAUGUUGUCUACCCCAUAACUAAAAAUGAUCGAAUUCGUAGUAUUGUUGCUAUUUUAAUCUCCAAUUGUAAGUUUUUAUAGUGUUUUAGGUUUUAUAACACUAUAAAAUACAUAAAUCAAUUGGAUUCGAUCAAAAGAGAAUGAGAUUGAGUUUUCUAAUACCGUUGUAUUUUCAUUUUUGUGAGGGUUUUAAAAAUAGUGGAGAAUGAAGUUUUUAUUUCGAAGAACUCUCUGCCAGAGUUAUUAUAGUUGUUUUGGAGAAUGUUAGUAAUUGAUAUUAUUAACAAUAGUUGUUAUUGCUUUGCCUUUUGUUUGUUUUUUUUGUUUAAUGUUUUUUGGUUAUAUUUGAUUAUAUAUUAUAUAAUUAAUCGUACUAAUAAAUUUAUUAAUAAGGAAAAAUCAAUAAUAGAAAGAAAAGACAAAGGCAAAAAAGUGAUAAAUGUAUUAUUCUAAACGGACAAACUGAGUAUAAUUUCUUGUGCCUGAAAAUGAAAAAUAUUUUGACUAAAAUAUUGUGUCUCAACAUGUAGGCAUCUUAUGUUCAUUUGGAUCUAGUCAAUUAUGUAUUGGUGAUGAUAGAUAUGGUUGUAUCGCAAUGAAUUUAUGACGUCUUUACUUUGAUAUAUGUUUUUUUUUGCAUGGUUGUUAGUUUAUUUACUUAUGUUCAGGUUGAUGGAAUUUGUGUGCCGGUGUAACACUUUUUGGAGUAUGAGGAUGGUACUAUUUAUUUAAUUUUGCCACGUUUACGUCUAUUUACAUUUAAUUCACAAUUUCAACUCUGGAUUAGAAAUAAGUUAUUUAAAAAAUCUAUUAUUUAUAUCAUAUAUCGUUGUCACCAAUAAGACUUGUGGUUCUGGUGCUGUUUCUAAAUCUGUGCGUAGAAACAAAUGAAUCUAGAAAUAAUUUUUCUUAAACAAAUUAGCAUAUGGAAGGAAAUGGUAUUCACAUCUUGUAAUGAGUAGUCGUCAUGCGUUACAAACCAAAUCUGGGUCCACUUUUUAGACUUGUAGGCCUUUUUCUUGAAUAAUUUUAUUUUGUAAAUAUAUUCCGUCCACAGUAAAACAGUUGUCUACAAAAAAAUUGGGUGAGUAAUGAUAAAGUUUUUUUUUUUUGAAAAAUGACUAAUGAUAAAAUUAUAACAUUAUUUGAAAGUUUAAAUUAUAUGGAGCCCUGCGCAAAAUGUAGUUUUGCGUUUAUAUUUAUGUACCAAAAUAAAUAUUUUCAUAGUACAUAAUAUUGUACUGUGAACAAACAUCGAUUGUAUGACGUGAACUUUAAAGUUCCACUUUUGUAUUCUCUUAAAGUAUUGGUCUUAUGAUUUUCUGGUUAUUUCAUUUCCUUUAUAGAUUUUAUAAUAAUAACUGCCAGCUUCAUCAUCAUCAUCACAAAUAUUUACAACCAUUAUCUCUCUCUCUCUUUCUUGGAUCAUCACACAUCCACACAAAGACUAAAGACGAAGAGGCAAAAGCAAGAAGUGGAAGAACAUCAGUACAUCACGCAUGGUUUUCACUUUGCCAUCCAAUGGAUGACACUCCUUUAGCUUCUCUAUAUUGAUGACUCUCCUUUAGCAUCAACAGAUGCAGUGUCAGCAGUCUCUUAAGCUUGAUAAAGGCGGGUCAAUCUGAAACGGAGAUUGUAAUCGAUGGUCAAAAGCUUGUGGUUGCUAAUGUUGGAGACUCAAGGGCAGUGAUAGGCGUUGCGCAUCAGCUCUUGAUAAAGAACCAAGCAAGGAGGGAAAAGAUAUAGAGAAGCGAGUUGGAUUUGUGUUAAACAUUCCAGAUACACCGCCUUGCAGGAGUGAAGAUCGCAUUAAAGGUAGAUCGUAAGUGAUGCAUCUGUAACUGGUUGCUUUUCAGAUUGUUAGGAAGAAUAUGAACCAUCGCGUUCGUUGAGAUUAGCUCUCGUACGGCGGAGAUCAGAAUUCAGAAAUGUGUUGAACCCUAAAAUCUGAAACGACGCGUUUUGAAACACGUAAAGUUUCCUUUA